CUUUACGUGUUGUUUUCAUUCUUCUCCUCUUUGCCUAAUCGAUCUUGUUUACAGGUUUCAGCCGAUGACAUCGUCAUCAGUCAGUCAUCUUCAAUUUCCACCCAAACCCUUUUAACCUUCCCUUUUCAAGUGUCUUAAAUUUAAACUUUUCCCAAAUCACCUAUUCGAGUCGUCGAUCGCUACCGCCGCUCUAAUCCCUCUCCAGACCCAAGUAAUUUGACAAUUUCAUAGAUGCACCCAUGAUUAGUACUCCACGUUUACCUCCAACGUAUGGAAGGUUUCUACAUUUAAUGAUCCAAUGAAGGCUUUCGGUUUGUUGAAUUGCUAUUCCUUUUUAUUUCAUACGAACCAAUCACAUCUAAAGCCUACAAUUUUGCUGCCAAAGGUCGAGAGACUUCACAUUGGAUGAAUAUUGUUCCGAAAAAGGCAACCAGAGGUUAAGACGGUAAAUGAUCCUUUGAUUUCGUGUGCAUAAAUCAGUACUCCAGUUAUAAUAUGGAACCACAUCGAGAUAAGACAAAGCCCCUUGGCUACCAGUAGGAUUGGGAAGUUGGAUUUCCUUGAAUGGAUGAUCCAGGGAACUUAACUCUCAAGGCUUUGAUACCACAAAGAUCAACUACUACAAGAGCUAUUUAGCAGAAUUGAUGAAAACAAUCAUUGAGGAAGCCAACGUGAUCAGAUUGCCCAUGCCAUCAGAAAGCUGCCUCCUACAAAGGCUAAGAGGUAUUUAUAGGACGUAUUGAUCCACAAACAACCCAUACCCUUCACUCGUUUCUGUCCAGGUAUUGGAUGAACAACUCAGGUGAAAAACAGACACUGUAAAGAUAGUCGAUGUAGCUUGAAUGAAGAUGGAACAAAGGAUGCAAAACAAGCUGAAGGUUGUUGAGCAACAAUUCAAUUCUACGUUGCAGUCUUCGCAUCAUUCUAUUGACCAACUAUUUGGUAAAGUUCCUAGUUUCGUUGUACCACCGUUUACACCAUUGUCAAUAGAGAAUAAUGCUAAUGAGGAAGAUGAAUGUUAUUGAGUACGAAGAGAAUAACUUUGGUGAGGAUCGGUUGCAUAUCUAAUUCACGAGGAUGAAGAGUUAUUUCUUUAAGUGCAUUAUAAUAGAUAUAGAGCAUGUUUGCUA